CCCCUCUCAAAAUAUUGUAAAACGCUACGGAAUCUGUUGGCGCUAUAUAAAUGGCAAUAAUAACUUUAGGUUAUAAAAGAACUGCACAAUCAUAAAACAAAACAUUGCAACAAAGAAAAAAAUGAAAUUACCCCUGUUCAAAGGGCUGCAUACCCUUAGUUCUUAAUAUUGUGUAUUGCCCCUUUUAGCAUCAAGUGCUGUAUUUUGCAAUAGUUGUCUAUGAGGCCCUUAAUUUUUGCAGGUGUUGUAGCUCCCCAUUCGUCUUGACAAAGUGCCUCAGGUCAUGCAAAGUCAUUGGUGAUCUUGAAAGAACCGUACAUUUGAGAUCUCACCAGAGUGGCUCGAUGCUAUUAAGGUCAGGAGACUGUGAUGGCCACUCCAGAACCUUCACCUUUUUCUGCUGUAACUACUGGAAGGUCAACUUGGCCUUGUGCUUGGGGUCAUUGUCAUGCUGGAAAGUCCAAGAGUAUCUCAUGCACAG